rnacentral:rRNA from 1 species
AUUGAACGCUGGCGGCAUGCUUUACACAUGCAAGUCGAACGGUAACAGGUUAAGCUGACGAGUGGCGAACGGGUGAGUAAUGCAUCGGAACGUGCCCGAGCGUGGGGGAUAACGCAGCGAAAGCUGCGCUAAUACCGCAUACGAUCUGAGGAUGAAAGCGGGGGACGCAAAGGCCUCGUCCGAUCGGGACGGCAGAAGUCAGAUUAGGUAGUCGGUGGGGUAAAGGCCAACCAAGCCAACGAUCUGUAGCUGGGCUGAGAGGACGACCAGCCACACUGGGACUGAGACACGGCCCAGACUCCUAAGGGAGGCAGCAGUGGGGAAUUUUGGACAAUGGGCGAAAGCCUGAUCCAGCAAUGCCGCGUGCAGGAAGAAGGCCUUCGGGUUGUAAACUGCUUUUGUACGGAGCGAAAAGGUUCUCUCUAAUACAGAGGGCUCAUGACGGUACCGUAAGAAUAAGCACCGGCUAACUACGUGCCAGCAGCCGCCGUAAAAC